rfam:Absidia repens strain NRRL 1336 BCR42scaffold_3, whole genome shotgun sequence.
GGGUUUAUGGUGUAGUGGUAUCAUUCACGCUUUGGGUGCGUGAGGUCAUGGGUUCGAACCCCAUUAAGCCCC